CUAAUACAUGCAAGUCGAGCGGCAAGUCGAGGAGUAAUCUAAGACCUAGAGCGGCGCACGGGUGCGUAACGCGUAUGCAACCUACCUUAUACUGGGGGAUAGCCCGGAGAAAUCUGGAUUAAUACCCCAUGGCACAUAUUGAUGGCAUCUGAGAUAUGUUAAAGAUUUAUUGGUAUAAGAUGGGCAUGCGUCUGAUUAGCUAGUUGGCGGUGUAACGGACCACCAAGGCGACGAUCAGUAGGGGUUCUGAGAGGAAGGUCCCCCACACUGGCACUGAGAUACGGGCCAGACUCCUACGGGAGGCAGCAGUAGGGAAUAUUGGGCAAUGGUCGGAAGACUGACCCAGCCAUGCCGCGUGCAGGAAGACGGCCCUCUGGGUUGUAAACUGCUUUUAUCUGGGAAGAAAAAGGCCAUGCGUGGCAAAUUGCCGGUACCAGAUGAAUAAGCACCGGCUAACUCCGUGCCAGCAGCCGCGGUAAUACGGAGGGUGCAAGCGUUGUCCGGAUUUAUUGGGUUUAAAGGGUGCGUAGGCGGCUGAUUAAGUCAGCGGUGAAAGACUUCGGCUUAACCGGAGUAGUGCCGUUGAUACUGAUUAGCUUGAGUGUUGGAGGGGUACAUGGAAUUGAUGGUGUAGCGGUGAAAUGCAUAGAUACCAUCAGGAACACCGAUAGCGAAGGCAUUGUACUGGCCAACAACUGACGCUGAGGCACGAAAGUGUGGGGAUCGAACAGGAUUAGAUACCCUGGUAGUCCACACUGUAAACGAUGAUUACUCGCUGUUAUGGUGUAUACUGUAGCGGCCAAGCGAAAGCGUUAAGUAAUCCACCUGGGGAGUACGCCGGCAACGGUGAAACUCAAAUGAAUUGACGGA
rnacentral:rRNA from 1 species